GAUGAACGCUGGCGGCGUGCCUAAUACAUGCAAGUCGAGCGAACAGACGAGGAGCUUGCUCCUCUGACGUUAGCGGCGGACGGGUGAGUAACACGUGGAUAACCUACCUAUAAGACUGGGAUAACUUCGGGAAACCGGAGCUAAUACCGGAUAAUAUAUUGAACCGCAUGGUUCAAUAGUGAAAGACGGUUUUGCUGUCACUUAUAGAUGGAUCCGCGCCGCAUUAGCUAGUUGGUAAGGUAACGGCUUACCAAGGCAACGAUGCGUAGCCGACCUGAGAGGGGGAGCAGACACAAUGGAAGUGAGACGCGGGGCAGACUCCCAAGGGAGGCAGGAGUAGGGAAUCUUCCGAAAUGGGCAGAAGCCUUACGGGACAACACCGGGGUAGUGGUGAAGGUCUUCGGAUCGUAAAACGCCUUUAUUAGGGAAAAACAAAUGUGGAAGUAACUAUGCACGUCUUGACGGUACCUAAUCAGAAAGCCACGGCGAACUACGUG
rnacentral:rRNA from 1 species